rnacentral:rRNA from 1 species
CCGGUGCCGGAAGGUUAAUUGAUGGGGUUAUCCCUCGGGAGAAGCUCUUGAUCGAAGCCCCGGUAAACGGCGGCCGUAACUAUAACGGUCCUAAGGUAGCGAAAUUCCUUGUCGGGUAAGUUCCGACCUGCACGAAUGGCGUAAUGAUGGCCAGGCUGUCUCCACCCGAGACUCAGUGAAAUUGAACUCGCUGUGAAGAUGCAGUGUACCCGCGGCAAGACGGAAAGACCCCGUGAACCUUUACUAUAGCUUGACACUGAACACUGGUCCUUGAUGUGUAGGAUAGGUGGGAGGCUUUGAAGUGCGGACGCCAGUCUGCAUGGAGCCGCCCUUGAAAUACCACCCUUUAAUGGCUGGUGUUCUAACGUGGGCCCGUAAUCCGGGUUGCGGACAGUGUCUGGUGGGUAGUUUGACUGGGGCGGUCUCCUCCUAAAGAGUAACGGAGGAGCACGAAGGUCAGCUAAUCCUGGUCGGACAUCAGGAGGUUAGUGCAAUGGCAUAAGCUGGCUUGACUGCGAGCGUGACGGCGCGAGCAGGUGCGAAAGCAGGUCAUAGUGAUCCGGUGGUUCUGAAUGGAAGGGCCAUCGCUCAACGGAUAAAAGGUACUCCGGGGAUAACAGGCUGAUACCGCCCAAGAGUUCAUAUCGACGGCGGUGUUUGGCACCUCGAUGUCGGCUCAUCACAUCCUGGGGCUGAAGUAGGUCCCAAGGGUAUGGCUGUUCGCCAUUUAAAGUGGUACGCGAGCUGGGUUUAGAACGUCGUGAGACAGUUCGGUCCCUAUCUGCCGUGGGCGCUGGAGAACUGAGGGGGGCUGCUCCUAGUACGAGAGGACCGGAGUGGACGCAUCACUGGUGUUCGGGUUGUCAUGCCAAUGGCACUGCCCGGUAGCUAAAUGCGGAAGAGAUAAGUGCUGAAAGCAUCUAAGCACGAAACUUGCCCCGAGAUGAGUUCUCCCUGACUCCUUGAGAGUCCUGAAGGAACGUUGAAGACGACGACGUUGAUAGGCCGGGUGUGUAAGCGCAGCGAUGCGUUGAGCUAACCGGUACUAAUGAACCGUGAGGCUUAACCUU